rnacentral:rRNA from 1 species
UACGAAGGGGGCUAGCGUUGUUCGGAAUCACUGGGCGUAAAGCGCACGUAGGCGGAUUGUUAAGUCGGGGGUGAAAUCCUGAGGCUCAACCUCAGAACUGCCUUUGAUACAGCACGUCUUGAGUCCGAUAGAGGUGGGUGGAAUUCCUAGUGUAGAGGUGAAAUUCGUAGAUAUUAGGAAGAACACCGGUGGCGAAGGCGGCCCACUGGAUCGGUACUGACGCUGAGGUGCGAAAGCGUGGGGAGCAAACAGG